ACGCAGCGAAAUGCGAUAAGUAAUGUGAAUUGCAGAAUUCAGUGAAUCAUCGAAUCUUUGAACGCACAUUGCGCCCCUUGGUAUUCCGAGGGGCAUGCCUGUUCGAGCGUCAUUACAACCCUCAAGCUCUGCUUGGUAUUGAGCGUCCCGCCUGAGCAAUCAGGCGC
rnacentral:rRNA from 1 species